GACAGGUUUGUUCUAUUCAAUUUGAUGAAUGAGAUAAAAGACGAUUUUGAUCACCUAGAGCAGGGCUCCAUGACUGUUUUAGAGUAUGUGUCACAUUUUGAUGACUUGCCAUAUAUUAUUUUAUCAUUAUUUGACACAACCUGAACCAGGGCCUUGUGGUAAUGGGCAACCCCAAGCCCAACCAGGACCGGGAAUCGCCCUCAUUUCCCAACCCAACCACCUAAAUGAAUACCUUGAGUUGGCUGAAGUCCGAACAUAUAACAAGAUAGCGUAUCUAACCAUGUGGUGUCUUUGGGACAAGUCUAUUACCG
rnacentral:lncRNA from 1 species